rnacentral:misc_RNA from 1 species
GUUUGUGGUCAUUGGUGCUGGUGGCGCUGGAAAGGCGAUUGCUUAUGGCGCAAAGGAAAAGGGGGCUAGGGUGGUGAUUGCUAAUCGUACCUAUGAACGAGCGCGAGAACUUGCUAUUGUUGUUGGAGCUGAGGCCUUAUCUCUUGACGAGCUUAGCAAUUUCCAUCCAGAAAAUGAUAUGAUUCUUGCAAAUACCACCUCCAUAGGCAUGCAACCAAAGGUUGAUGAUACACCAAUCUCUAAGGAAGCUUUGAAGCACUACUCACUUGUUUUCGAUGCUGUUUAUACACCCAAAAUCACUAGACUCCUGCGAGAAGCUCAGGAGAGUGGAGCAAAAAUUGUGACAGGAGUUGAAAUGUUUAUCGGGCAGGCAUAUGAACAAUAUGAAAGAUUUACAGGAUUGCCAGCUCCUAAGGAACUUUUCAAGAAUAUAAUGUCUACAUACUGAGAGGAUCCCUUUCACUUUUCAAUCGGGGCUGCUAAUUAUUAUUACUCCUAAAUCUGACAUGAUUGUGUUAGAGUUUGCUCUAUCUACCACUGUUUGUACUUCAGAGGAAGUAAUUUUGUCCACGUAAAUCGUACUUUUUGCGGAAACAGAGGAUGUUCAGACAUACCAGUUAAUCUAUGGCAGGAAAAUCCACCAUCUUUCUGGCUAUGUUAGAACUCUUGAUUCUUUGACAAGUAUUGUAUUUUGGGAGGAAAU